GACGAACCGUGCGAACGUUAUUCGGAAUCACUGGGCUUAAAGGGCGCGUAGGCGGGUCAUCAAGUCCGGGGUGAAAGCCCACGGCCCAACCGUGGAAGUGCCUUGGAUACUGAAGACCUCGAGGGGGAUAGGGGCGUGCGGAAUUCCUGGUGUAGCGGUGAAAUGCGCAGAUAUCAGGAGGAACACCGGUGGCGAAGGCGGUUCUCUGGGCCGAUGAUCUGACGCUGAGAGCGAACGAUGUCGGGGAGCGAACGGG
rnacentral:rRNA from 1 species